rnacentral:tRNA from 1 species
UCCCUGUUGGCUCAGAGGUUAAAGCAUCUGCCUGCAAUGCGGGAGACCUGGGUUCAGUCCCUGGGUAGGGAA